rnacentral:sRNA from 1 species
AGCGAGAGGCGAAGGAUUCAAAGAUAGAGAAGAAGCCAUGACAUGUGAUUGCUAAAGCCGCUUGAUUUACUACUCAGAUUCUCUACAAGAAAAGACAAAAAU